AUAUAUUUCUGGAGUAUUUCCAUACGUAGUACUACAAUACAAACCAGAUAUUCAAACAAAAAUGCAAAGAAAAAUUGACUGGGAUUUCAGUUGAAAGAGAUUAAGAGAUCUCAUAGAUUAGAACUAGGAACAUCCUACUACUAAAAUAUUCAUUUUGUAGUCAACUAAGACAACAGGAUCAAAAUCUGACCAAAUCUACAACUUUUAAACUAAAUUGCUUAAUAACAGGGCAUUUGGUCUAGUGGUAUGAUUCUCGCUUUGGGUGCGAGAGGUCCCGAGUUCGAUUCUCGGAAUGCCCCAUUGACUUUUUUGUUAAAUGAUCUAAAUUCAAGCAGCAAAUUGGUUUAUUCAGUGCUAGUUCUAUCGUAGAUCAUGAUCCAAGUAAGAACCACAUAUUACCCUUUCAUUUCAGCUAGAGAAAAUACAAACAAAAUGCACCUUAAAUUUUUAUUAGUGCUUAAUGCAAUGGAAUAUAAGAGCAUACCGUUGUCACGUCCUCUCAGUAAACUUCAUGUAGGGGGGACUGUCAUCUUUUGUAAGAAGCCAGAUCCAAAAAGAAUGAGCUGGAGAAAACAGCAAACGAAUUGUGAUAAAGAACUGAUCAAAAGGAUAAGAAAACAGGGCAUUUGGUCUAGUGGUAUGAUUCUCGCUUUGGGUGCGAGAGGUCCCGAGUUCGAUUCUCGGAAUGCCCCAUUGUCUUUUUGUAAAACAUAUGCUCUAAAUGCCUGCCAAGACUUAUUGCAUACAAUCUGUAUUUGCUAUCGGACUUUUAACAGAUCACAUACAUCAUUUGAACAUUGUUGAUUCACCUAAAAAGUAACUUCCACAACAUCAGAAUCACAAACAAUCCACCAUAAACUCAACUGAUAGGUCUCAGUAACAGCUUCAAGAUAAAGAAAUAAAACAGACUGAAUUUAAACCAACUAUAAGUUUCCAGAUUCCUUCAAGCACGAGACCCUUCAAUAGGACAAGCCUUGGGUGUAAAUUUACAGUAAAAAGCUCAUUCCUUUUUCAAAAAAGCAUUUUAAACACCAAAACAGAAUGCUUGAACCCAAUUACAUCAGCAACAGAGCAUUUAGGACAAGCCAUGAAUAUAAUUCUUCUUUUGGCAGCGAGAGGUCCUAGGUUCUAUUCAAAGAAUGCCCUUCACUUAGUUUUAAGGAUAAGACCUAAUUACCAGCUCAAAAGUCAAAAUUAUAGAAUACAGAGACAUUUCCGUAUUAGAUUUUAACCUAGGGAAGCUAAGAGAGACGAAAACUAAGCAACACACACUUCCAUAGCAGUAAAGAGCGAAUACGUACCCAAAAGAGUAGAAGAAAACGCAUCACGCGCCAGUGCGCCACUGAUUCUCUAAACUCCGCGAAACCUCACGCAAAAUACGAAAUUUAUCCCACAUUUCAGGUAGACUCAAUCUAAAUCUCUGUGGGCGAAAUUUUUUGGUUUAGGAAUUUCGUCGAACAACUGGUGGGCGAGUGCCUCAUGAGUCAGCAAAUAAACCGGACAACGAAUAAUCCAAUGGAUACGCUCACAUCUGUUGGAAACUUCGACAAGCCACGACCGUGAAUCUCUAUAUAUAUGGUUUACUAAACCGAAACUGCAUCAAAAUAAAUUAAUUCAAUCUGGUUUAACUAAACCGAAACUGCGUCAAAACAACGGAACCAAUUAAAUUCUGCGUCAAAACAAC
rnacentral:lncRNA from 1 species